AGCUAUUCACGACCCAAUAAUGGGCCGAUUCUUUUUCUUUGUAUGAGCAAUUACUGUGCGACCAUUAAUUGCUGCAAUAUCAAUAAUCAAAGUCAAAAAGAUCCUUUUUCAUUCCAAGACCAAAAUCUCAGCAACAAAUAGUCAUACAGAGACAACAAAAAAGCAAAUUGUAGCUUAAUAAAUUUCAUAACCGAACUGUGCAUUAGUUUUUUAAAAAAAGAUUUUUCCGGGCUCGUAGAGCCAAAAACCAAAACCAAAAAAUUAAUAGCAUUUUUUUUUCGAGCUAUUUUUUAUCACGCAAUAACCAUGGCUCAAAAAAUCGGUAAAAGAUCUUCAAACUACAGAAUUGAAGCUUCGAAUUUCUUUUUUUUAUUUUUCGAUACGGCCAAUUUUACAAAAAUAAAGCAUUCCAAAAAUCACUAAAAAAUUUAUAAAAUUUUAUUAUUCUUUUAAUUUUUUCGAUAAGAGUAUUAAAGCUGUCUAAUUUUAUUUAAUAUAUAUUUAAAGGUAUAUAAUAUUAUCAAUGUCUCAAAACUAAGUAUGCCAAAAUUUUUUUUAAGUUGCGUCAUGAUAAGUGAAAAAUUUAUGUAAAAGGUUUUGAUCAUCAAUAAUUUCUUACCAUCAGAACUUUUACAAAUUAAAAUAUUUAUUUAUUUAUUUUAUUUUCAAAUUUUCACAUAAGGAUUCGAACGAAAUUUGAUAUUAAAAUCAAUUAUGAUUCAUCAAAUUAAUAAUCAAUUAUCAAACAACUACGGUACAAAUCUUCUUUUAAAACUUUUUUAAUGAUACGAAAUUCAAUUAAUUGAUACCAAUAAAUAAAAAAUCGCGUGACCUUGACAAGUCCGUUGUAAAGCACAACCUCUCCGCUUCGCGUUCGAGUCGUGCAAAAUAAAAUUUUAUUAUUACUAUUUCUGAAAGAAAUGAAUUUUUAAAAAAUUUAAUUUUUCCCGCUACUAUAUUUGAGCGCCCUGCACGCGCCCACAAAAUAGUACAGACCUGAUGUUUACAUCUGUCAAAAUAAAAAGUUACUAAAUGGCAAAUAUAAUGCUGAAAUUUAUUAAAGAAACUACGCUCAACUGGGUAUUUAUAAUUACUCCAUCAAGAGUCUGACUGUCCAGUAACACUAAAGGCUAGCUUGGAUGAAAGAACAAGAUCAUUUGUUGUACGAAAAUGGAUCCAUGAUCAUAAUCACACAUCAAACGAGGAAAACACAAACGUAUCAAGUUGGGUUGACAAAUAUGAAAAAAAAAGAAGAGAGAAUCAGAAAAAUUUAAAGAAGGAAAAAGCAGAAAAAUGAUUAAGAAAAACGUAAAAGACAAUCCGGCUGGUAUAAAAAAAAUGCUUCUAUUCGAAAAUUUGACUAAAAAAAUAAACAAAAUAGAUGAAGAAGAUAUUGAAGAUGAAAAAAGUAGCGACGAAGAAGAAGACAUGCAUAGAGUGGAAGACAAAAUAGGAAAAAAUAUUCAAAUUACAGCCAGCAUAGAGACGAGAGAGUUGUCAACAACUUCUCUUGAUUCAAAUAUAUAUACUCCUCCAAGAGGAUGUGUUGAAAUUUUGGAGAGCUUGUAUGUGAAAAAAGAAUUGAUAACGAAAAUAAAUACAAAUGAUUACAAAUUUCACCACACUGACGUAGAUUUAGAAAGACUUGUGACGGCAAAAACAGGCAUAAAGCUUGAAGAAUUAUAGACCGUUAAACACUAUUUUAAAGAUGAUGUACUGAAGAAAAUAAUUGAUAUUAUAUGUAAAAAAAUUG